rnacentral:tRNA from 1 species
GCGGGAGUGGUGGAAUUGGUAGACACGCUGGAUUUAGGUUCCAGUGUUUAAAGACAUGAGAGUUCGAGUCUCUCCUUCCGUACCA